CCGGAAGCAGGGGUGGGGUGUAGUUUAGCGCAUGCGUGCAGGGGUUGUUCUCAUUCUCCCUUGCUGUACGCGACAGGGUAACAAGGUUGGAAAAAAAAGAAAAAAGGCUUCCCUGGGGGUGGGGAGCUAGGGAAUCCCUUUCCCCAGUAAAGGGAGAGAUCUGCCAGGAAAUCCCGAGUGCCCCCGUGCCGCCUGCAUGGGGCUGGCAGGGGUCAGGACAGCCCCUGUCCGCGCCCUGGUGCCGUCUGGCCCACUGGGCCCUCACAUUUGGUGGCAGGGCAGUGGUGCAAGGGUUAAUGCCCACGUUUCAGGACCCGCGGGGAGCCCCUCUGCGCCAGCUCAGGUGAUUUGGGUAUCUGGGGCUGCCAGAGGCCGCUGGAGCAGAGCAGGGGCACGUGCAGGGGCUGGCUGAGGGGCAGAGCAGAGGUCUGGUCCAGCAGCAUGGGGACUGGGUGCAUCCGGCCCCAGUCGUGGCAGUGGGUGGGUCUGAUCUGGCCCGCAGACUGGCCACACACCUCCUGGCCAGCAGAAGCACCAGGUUGAGCACUGCGGUCCUACACGCUUGGGCCUCUGCCCCGCGGGAGAAACAGGCCCAGCACAGCAGUCUUACAGACCUCUCCUGGAGAGCUGCUUAUUGAUGCAGUUGGGUGGCGAACGUGCACAGACGGAGCCGGUGUGCAGUAACACUGGGUGACGUGGCCCCAGGCAAUUCUCCUGGUUGCCUGCCCACUAACCAGUUCUCUGCAUGCACACAUAGUUAAGUGAGGCAAUGACUGAAACACGUUGGCAAAGCUGAAAGACGGCCCUGAGAGGAGGACAGCCCCCAAAUCCGAAGGAGACAUGAAAAUUAGAUACCAUGCAAAAAUGGCCUUUUUCCCCAAAAAAUAUGUAGAUGUUUUAUAGGAUGUUCAAAGCUCAACAUUUUCUGUCUUUUGACUGGGAAUAAAUGGGUUUCAGGUGCUUAUUUUUCAACUGACAUUCUGUUUGUCUAUGGAAAGCAGGUAUGAGCACAGAUAGAUGCUUUUCACGAAGAAUUGUGUUUAGGCAAAGCUGUGGUUUUCUAUUGAAAAACUGAGCCACGAUAAGAAUUUGAGCAGCCUUGAUCAGAGCUUUCUAGUACUCCAAAAUGUACAUGUACACACCAGAACAACAAAACACACAUAAUGUAUUGAACAUCUGCAAUAUUUACAGUGCCCCAAAAACUUCCAAGUGCACACAGAGCUCUAAAAUUACAGAACACAAGGGUGUUUGAGAAAAUAAUAGUGCUUUUAAAAUAAAACCAUUUUGUGUACAAUGAUCACCUACUGGACAACAUCACUUCUCUACAUAGUUGUAAACGUUGGGUGCCUUUGACAACACUAUCAGUGUGCCCUGCUGCUGUGUACUUUCCCACUCAUUGCAUAGAAAGUGGGUUUAUUUGAAAAAUGCUGUUUCUUUCUGGAGCACCCUCAUACAAACGUACUAACUAUCACAAAACAUCAUCCCCCAAAUUUUCACAACUCCUGAAAUCCUCAAAUUUAUGGUUUGUUGAAAGCACAACACACAUCCGUUGCACUAAAAGGUAAUACACAAUCUUUCAUACACAAAGAUGAAAUAAUGAUGAAAAUGCUGACAUAUACAAUGUGCCAACCUGAUGCUUGUGCUGCUUAGAAUAAUCUGAAUGAAUAAAUAAAAGACCCAUCAGAAGCCACAAAAUAAUCAAAGUAUAAAUAUUAUGUCACAAUACAUACUGCACUAAAGAAGGGAAGACCUUGGCCAGAGACAAACUGCAGAUAAACGUUCAGAGAAAUAUAGGGCACUCUACACAUGUGCAUUUACUGCUCAGUAAUGGAAAUUACUGCACAGUAUGGACACAACUCAUUUACUGCACAGUAUGGGCAUGCAUAUGUCAAGUUGUGUCUGUACUGCGCAGUACAUGUGGUAAUUUAUGCCAAUUUGAAUGUAAAUUUGAUACCUGCAAAUUUACACCCAAUUUGUUACUGCACAGUAACGCAGAUGUAGAUGUCUUACUGCACAGUAACACUGUGUGUGUGGACUGACUUGGUACUAACUAGUCCCAAGUCAGUCUACAUACAGUGUUAAUGCAUACUAUAAUGCCCACACAUGUAGAUGCCGGCCUAUUCUGGUUUACUGUGUAGUAAAUUUAAGCCAGUAUAAAUGCAUGUGUAGACAUGCCCAUAAUCAUGCAAAUCCCAAACUGUGGCACUGUCAUAGGUAUGUUUAUGCUGUCUGUAAAGCAGUGGUUCUCAACCAUUUUAGACUGCAAACUAGAAGUGACCGUGGACCAGCAUAAUGGAGACUGGAAAUGACCAGUAUACUGUGGAUUGGCAGCCAACCUUUUUUUAUACUGAGUAUAUACUCAGUAUAAAAAAGGGUUGGCUGCCAGUCUGCAGUAUGCUGAUCACUUCUGGACUUCCGAUCCAGCAGCCAACCCUCCUGCGGACCGGCAGCCACCCUUUGUGACCCAGUACCAGGCCAUGGCCCGGGGGUUGGGAACCUCUGCCGUUAAGGAAACCAAGCAAAAUAAAGAACACUGAGGUUUGAAUAAAAAUACUUUAUGUAAUAAGAAAGAAGUGCAAAUGCACUCUGACUUGUAGGAAAAUUGAAAACAGAUGUUAAGAUAAAUAAAAGGAAUUUCCACCAUAUUCUAUGACAGAUCUGGGUGGGAAAAGAGGUGAAUAGGUAAGGCUUUUUUAAAAUGUUGCCUCUAAAUCUUCUUCUGAUUAAAUAGAGAAACAGCCUUGUAUAUGCGAUGUUGUGGUAUUAGUCACAGCUGUGGGCGUGCCUAAGCUCUCUUAAUGAGUCCUCGGUUUUCCUCAGAGACUCUGGGAAAAAAUGCUGUGUAAUGAUGAGGGGGAAGUAUUUCUGUGCUGUGUAAUGAUGAACAGAAAACACGCAUAGUCCCUUCCCCCAGAACUGCUUUCCCUCCUCCUUCUCUGUUUCCUUACCAGCUUUUCAUUGUUGAUACUGGAGCUUGUGAAGUGACGUAAAAUUAUUUAUAGCUUGUAUAAAUAGAAAAGGUUCAGCUAGUUUAUGUUAGUUUAGCAGCUCCAACUAUUAUACUUCCUGAAAUUAUGAAACUUUGAGUGGUCACGUAUCAUAAGUUAAAUUUACUCUGGUUAUAUAUUUAAAAUCUUAUAUAUAUUUAAAAUAACACUAAUAGUUUUACAGUGAUCACCCUUAAAAAGUUUCACCAGUUUGAAAGAUUUGCUGGAUCCAGACAUAUUCCUUAUAUUUGCAUGAAAAUUUCCAUUAGUAGUUUCCAGAUCAGAUGCAACUCUGCAUGAAACUUUCUUUUUCUGGUACCUUUUGGUGUAUUUUAUAUAUUUUGGGGCUCAUCACCUGUAUUUCAGUGUUUGCUCUGUAGUUAAAAAUUCUGGAGUAAAUUAAACCUCAUUGUGAUAAUAAGGGGCAAAAACUGUGUUCAGUUCUUAUACAGCAUGGCGUGUUCCAGUGCAGGCAGUUAGCACCUUUCGUCAAGCUUCAGGAAAUUCCCAGGGUCAGAAGUCUCUAUCAGGAAUCUAGACGAACCCUCAACAUACAUCACGGACACCAACAAAGGGAACAUCAGCCAACCGGCAGUCAGUGCCAACACGGUAAAAAGACACUUGGAGGGACUGGAUGUAUUCAAAUCACCAGGACCAGAAAGACUCCACCCAUGGGUAAUGAAGGAAUUAGCAGGGGUCAUAGCUGAUCAACUGGCAAGGAUAUAUGAGCGUUCCACUCAUGGUGCUCGAGUCAGGUUCCGGAGGAUUGGAAGAGGGCCAAUGUCAUCCCAAUCUUUAAGAGGGGGAGGAAGGAGGACCCAGGGAACUAUAGACCAGUCAGCCUUACCUCUAUCCCUGGGAAAGUCCUAGAAAAAAUGAUCAAGGAGCACAUCUGUGGGAGCCUGCUGGCUAAUGUGAUGUGGAGGGGUAACCAACAUGGGUUUUUAGCAGGUAGGUCCUGCCUGACUAACCUAGUUUCCUUUUAUGACAAGGCCACCAAUUUUUUAGAUGCAGGAGUCGAGGUGGAUGUUAUCUAUCUGGACUUCAAGAAGACCUUUAACAAGGUAUCCCAUACCAUCCUUAUAAAUAAACUGAGGGGAUUUGCCUUGUCUAAAUUAAUGGAUGACACCAAAUAAUAGGGCAAAGUAAACAGUGGAGAGUAAGGAGCGGAUUCAGGCAGAUUUGGACAGGUUGGGAAUGUGGGCAGAAAAAUAGGAUGCAAUUUAACAAAGAUAAGUGCAAAGUGCUGCAUCUAGAGAAAAAGGAUCACCAACACACCUACAGACUGGGAAGUGACUUUGUAAGCAGCACAGCAGCAGCACUACUGUUGCUGCCUUGUACCGAAGCAACCUUGUGUACCAGCCAGCCUCUCUGCAGCACACUGAGCUGGGGAUUUAGCCCUGGGCUGCCAGGAUGACCUCCUGGGUCCCCUGCCAUUUGGGGAUGCUCCAACCCGACUUAACAUGCUGUGAUCCCAGGUGCAUGUGGAAUGUGUGUCUGGGAGCAAUGAACUCUGGUGUGCUAAGUACCAGAGUUUAUUGCAUCACAUUAAUGUGCACAUGUAGAUAUGCCUACUGAGGACUAAAAUAAAGGGAAGCCUGGAAGGUGGUAUAAAGCCUCUCUUUUCCUUCCACUUGGUGCUGAACAGCUUUCAGUCAGAAUCAGGCCUCAUCUUUCAGCAAUUCAUGUAACUUACUAGAGAAUAUAGGGAAACUGAAACUCAGAUUCAAUUUCAAGGACAUGCAGCACUGCCAUGCCUGCAGUCCUUGACAUCAUAUUAAUGGUUACAAUCCUACUAGGUUAACACACACUUAACUUCUAGGCAAGCUUUAACAGUUCUGGGUGGCUAGAGGGUUAGUUCUCUGGAUGUAAGUGAACUGAGAGGACUGUCUUUGGCUUAUGGGUAUUCUGAAGCAAGAAGUUUCCUCCAUCACAUGAAACUAAAAAUGUAUAUUUUGCCUCAGCUGUCCCAUCCAUUAUCUAUGGCCUUGCCUAUCUUUCUGUAGAAGACAUUCAAAACACAAUGGACAUUUAAAACACAAUGGACGUUUAACUCAUGAUGAUACCUGCUCCACUCCUUAAUCCUCAACACAAAAAUAAAAAUCAUGUGGCUUCUU